AUGAAGCAUUGUCCUGCUGGAAAAAACUAUCCUCAGAGUUGGGGAACAUUGUCAGCGCAGAAGGAAGCAAGUUUUCUUCCAGGACAACCAAAUGUCACAGUGGGUGCGAGACCUGGAGAGGCCUACAAGCCACAGUGUCUCGCACCCACUGUGAAAUUUGGACCCAAACACAGAGCUAUAAAUAGUAAAACCAGAGAAACGGAUCAAGUGGUCUCUUCAUUUUUUCCAGAGCUGUAUAUGUCCAGUGGUUGGGUUCACUUGACGUUGCAGCACAGCAAGAUUCUCAGUAGACGGGGCAUAUGGGAUGUCAGGAACAGUGACCCCAUUGUCAGUGUUUCCAGAUUCCAGAUGAUUCUCCUGAUAAAGCAGGUCCUCCACAUACUGAAUCUGGUCAAAAGAAACACAUAUGUAUUAGUGACGAUACAUUUGGCAGCAACAGGGGCUUGAUAGUCCAGUGAAAACUGCUGAGUGUUUAUGUGGUGUAAAUCUUCAAAUGAGCAGCUGACAUCUUAAUGGUUUUUUAAUGAAUGGAUGUGAAACAGGUUCCAUGUACAACAAGACAGGCAGAGAGGAAGAGAGAAAA
rnacentral:lncRNA from 13 species